AGUCCACGCCCUAAACGAUGAGUACUAGAUGUUUCGGUGGUUGAUCGCCGGAGUAUCACAGCUAACGCAUUAAGUACUCCGCCUGGGGACUACGGCCGCAAGGCUAAAACUCAAAGGAAUUGACGGGGACCCGCACAAGCGGUGGAGCAUGUGGUUUAAUUCGACGAUACGCGAAGAACCUUACCUGGGUUUGACAUCCUGCGAAUCUUGUAGAGAUACGAGAGUGCCUUCGGGAACGCAGUGACAGGUGCUGCACGGCUGUCGUCAGCUCGUGUCGUGAGAUGUUGGGUUAAGUCCCGCAACGAGCGCAACCCCUGCUUCUAUUUGCCAGCGGUUCGGCCGGGAACUAUAGAAGGACUGCCUCGGUGAACGGGGAGGAAGGAGGGGACGACGUCAAGUCAUCAUGGCCUUUAUAUCCAGGGCUACACACGUGCUACAAUGGCCGGUACAAAGGGUUGCCAACCCGUGAGGGGGAGCUAGUCUCAAAAAGCCGGCCCCAGUUCGGAUUGCAGUCUGCAACUCGACUGCAUGAAGUUGGAAUCGCUAGUAAUCGCAGAUCAGCUACGCUGCGGUGAAUACGUUCCCGGGUCUUGUACACACCGCCCGUCACACCACGAGAGUCGGCGGCGCUGGAAAACAGUGGUCUAACCUUCGGGGGGAAGCUGUU
rnacentral:rRNA from 1 species